GAAAUGCGAUAAGUAAUGUGAAUUGCAGAAUUCAGUGAAUCAUCGAAUCUUUGAACGCACAUUGCGCCCGCCAGUAUUCUGGCGGGCAUGCCUGUCCGAGCUUCAUUUCAACCAUCAAGCCCCCGGGCUUGUGUUGGGGACCUGCGGCUGCCCGCAGGCCCUGAAAACCAGUGGCGGGCUCGCUGUCACACCGAGCGUAGUAGCAAUCACCUCGCUCAGGGCGUGCUGCGGGUUCCGGCCGUUAAACAGCCUUACAAAACCCAAGGUUGACCUCGGAUCAGGUAGGAAGACCCGCUGAACUUAAGC
rnacentral:misc_RNA from 1 species